UAUGUCUCACGGGUCGGGUUAUCCCCUUUUGAAGCAUCAUUCAUCUGAUUGGGGUCUUUGAGUGUUAAAGCAUGAGAAAACAUUGCUAUGGGAUUAUCUUGCGUAGUGCCGAUGAUCGUUUCACCCCGCAAUGUUGUUGACGAUUGCGUGUGAAACAAUGGAGAAUUGGUAGUGUUUCCUCUUUGUUGCUUCUUUUUGUUUAACUUGCACCUCUUUUGUUGCCGAACCUCCACAUUUGGCCGAUUAAGAGUUGGCACAGUUGUUUUCGGACAUUGGUGGUGACAGGUUAUCAGGUUCUGUGAUGAAGUCCUUUUUUGAAAUAUGUUGGAAAUACAUAUUCAAUUGUGGUGUGGAUGGGUACCGCUUUUUUGCUGGUGUUUUUAAUGGUUUAUUUUGUCAUCUUAGUAAAAUGUAUUUCGAUGCUACUGCAACCUUAUAGCCCCUCUGCUGUUUGUAAUGUUUCUUUUGUUUGCUGCAAUGUAUUCGGGACAAUGUUCAUUUCGGUUCUUUGGGUUAAUUUAUUUUUCAUUUUA